AGUGAACGCUGGCGGCGUGCUUAACACAUGCAAGUCGAACGAGAACGGGCUAUAGCUUGCUAUAGUUGUCAGCUAAGUGGCGCACGGGUGAGUAAUGUCUGGGAAACUGCCUGAUGGAGGGGGAUAACUACUGGAAACGGUAGCUAAUACCGCAUAAUGUCGCAAGACCAAAGUGGGGGACCUUCGGGCCUAAUGCCAUCAGAUGUGCCCAGAUGGGAUUAGCUAGUAGGUGAGGUAACGGCUCACCUAGGCGACGAUCCCUAGCUGGUCUGAGAGGAUGACCAGCCACACUGGAACUGAGACACGGUCCAGACUCCUACGGGAGGCAGCAGUGGGGGAUAUUGCACAAUGGGCGCAAGCCUGAUGCAGCCAUGCCGCGUGUGUGAAGAAGGCCUUCGGGUUGUAAAGCACUUUCAGCGGGGAGGAAGGCGUUAAGGUUAAUAACCUUGGCGAUUGACGUUACCCGCAGAAGAAGCACCGGCUAACUCCGUGCCAGCCGCCGCUGUAA
rnacentral:rRNA from 1 species